ACUUUACAGCAUUGUUUAUAUUUGUAAAAAAAAGAUACAGAAAAGAUUAGCAUGGCCCCUGCGCAAGGAUGACACGCAAAAUCGUGAAGCGUUCCACAUUUUU